rnacentral:rRNA from 1 species
AUUGAACGCUGGCGGCAUGCUUUACACAUGCAAGUCGAACGGUAACAGGGUGCUUGCACCGCUGACGAGUGGCGAACGGGUGAGUAAUGCGUCGGAACGUGCCGAGUAGUGGGGGAUAACGCAGCGAAAGUUGUGCUAAUACCGCAUACGUACUGAGGUAGAAAGUGGGGGACCUUCGGGCCUCACGCUAUUCGAGCGGCCGACGUCUGAUUAGCUAGUAGGUGAGGUAAAGGCUCACCUAGGCGACGAUCAGUAGCGGGUCUGAGAGGAUGAUCCGCCACACUGGGACUGAGACACGGCCCAGACCCCUACGGGAGGCAGCAGUGGGGAAUUUUGGACAAUGGGCGAAAGCCUGAUCCAGCCAUGCCGCGUGUCUGAAGAAGGCCUUCGGGUUGUAAAGGACUUUUGUCAGGGAGGAAAUCCCUAGUGCUAAUAACACUGGGGGAUGACAGUACCUGAAGAAGAAGCACCGGCUAACUACGUGCCAGCCGCCGCGGUAA